UACGAAGGGAGCUAGCGUUGUUCGGAAUUACUGGGCGUAAAGGGCGCGUAGGCGGUCUUGUGCGUUUGAUGUGAAAGACCUGGGCUUAACCUGGGAAGUGCAUUGAAUACGGCAAGACUGGAGUGCGAGAGGGGAUUGUGGAAUUGUGCGUGUAGAGGUGAAAUUCGUAGAUAUGCACAAGAACAUCGGAGGCGAAGGCGACAAUCUGGCUCGUAACUGACGCUAAGGCGCGAAAGCGUGGGGAGCAAACAGG
rnacentral:rRNA from 1 species